rnacentral:rRNA from 1 species
UUUGAGAAACUACAGAAGACUAAGAGAAUUUUAGGACAAAAUUUUAGUUGUGUAUAAAAACUUUAUAGACGUAUAUGUUGCGCUAAGAAAAGUUGAUUCAAUAAGUAGUUUUGGAAGAUCGUACACGUAAUCAAUAGGAAGCCGGUUGAUCAUGCCGGACCUAGGUGCUAUCAGAUUCGCAAUAGACAUGCGAGUUUUAUGUCUCUUCGGAGGCAUAGCGAAAGGCUCAGUAACACGUCGCCAAUCUACCCUAAGGACGGGUAUAACCUCGGGAAACUGAGAUUAAUCCCCGAUAGGUAUGGACUCCUGGAAGGGGCCAAUACCCAAAGGGUCUUCGGACCGCCAUAGGAUGAGGCCGCGGCCGAUUAGCUAGUAAGUGAUGUAAAGGAUCACUUAGGCGAUGAUCGGUAGGGGCUAUGAGAGUAGGCGCCCCGAGAAGGACACUGAGACACUGGUCCUAGCACUACGGUGUGCAGCAGUUAGGAAUUGUGCCCAAUGCGCGAAAGCGUGAGACCGCGAAUCUGAGUGCCAGGGAGAACCCUGGCUGUGAUGGAGUGUUAGUAGCUCCAACAGCAAGCAGAGGGCAAGGCUGGUGCCAGCCGCCGCGGUAAAACCAGCUCUGCGAGUGCCUAGGACGAUUAUUGGGCUUAAAGCAUCCGUAGCCGGAUGAGUAGGUCUUUGGUUAAAUCUGCAAGCUUAACUUGUAGGCUGUCAGAGAUACCACUCAUCUAGGGAAUAGGAGAGGUGAACGGUACUGCGGGAGAAGCGGUGAAAUGCGUUGAUUCCCGCAGGACCCACAGUGGCGAAGGCGGUUCACUGGAAUAUCUCCGACGGUGAUGGAUGAAAGCCAGGGGAGCGAAAGGGAUUAGAGACCCCUGUAGUCCUGGCCGUAAACGAUGAGGACUAGGUGUUGGUCAUGGCUAAGUGCCUGGUCAGUGCCAAAGGGAAACUAUUAAGUCCUCCGCCUGGGGAGUACGGUCGCAAGGCUGAAACUUAAAUGAAUUGACGGGAAAGGGCCACAAGGAACGGGAUGUGUGGUUUAAUUCGACUCAACGCGAGGAAACUCACCUGGGGCGACUGUUGUAUGUGUGUCAGGCUGAAGACCUUACACGAAUAAAACAGAGAGGUAGUGCAUGGCCGUCUCAAGCUCGUGCCGUGAGGUGCGCUCUUAAGUGAGUAAACGAGCGAGACCCGCGCCCCUAUUUGCUAAGAGCAAGCUGCGGCUUGGCUGAGGACAAUAGGGGGAUCGCCAUCGAUGAAGAUGGAUGAAAGGGCGGGCCACGGCAGGUCAGUAUGCUCCUAAUCCCCAGGGCCACACACGCAUCACAAUGGGCAGGACAAUGAGAUGCAACUCCGAAAGGAGAAGCGGACCUCUAAACCUGUUCGCAGUAGGGAUUGAGGUCUGGAACCGACCUCAUGAACAUGGAGCUCCUAGUAUCCGCGUGUCAUCAUCGCGCGGAGAAUACGUCCCCGCUUUUUGUACACUCCGCCCGUCGUUGCAACGAAAUCAGGUUUGGUUGAGGUUGGGGCGAAUCGGCUCAAUCAAAACUGGGCCUCGUGACGAU